rnacentral:rRNA from 1 species
ACGCUCGCCCCCGCCAGGCCCGGCGCCACCAACGCCAUGAUGGUGGCCAUCAAGAAGCUCAAGAAGGAGAGCUUCCAGGGCCACCAGGAGUGGCUCACCGAGGUUACCUACUUACCUACCUCGGCGACCUCCACCACGACAACCUGGUCAAGCUCGUCGGCUACUGCUCUGACUCCAACAGCAACAAGCUGCUGGUGUACGAGUACAUGCCGCGCGGCAGCCUGGAGAACCACCUGUUCCGGCGGGGCAGCCCGCGGCGUGGCGUUGGAGCUGCUGGUCGACUGGGCCAUGCCGAUGCUGCAGGGGGAGCGGCGCAAGGUGAUACGCGUCAUGGACACCAGGCUCGGCGGGCAGUACCCUAAGAGGCAGGCGCAGGACAUGGCCGCGCUCGCGCUCCGAUGCCUCCAGAAUGACUCCAAGAGCCGCCCCUCCAUGGCCGACGACGUCCUCCCAGCCCUCGAGCUCCUCCUGCACCCAACCACCUCCUCCUUGACCACGACGUCGUCCAGAUCGCCGGCCGCGUUGGCGGCGCCGGCGCACAGAGGCAACCGACGAUCA